rnacentral:rRNA from 1 species
AUGACAGGAGGAAUCGUGACCGUGGCGAGCGGGGUGAUGAACCCCCUCAUCGGCAAGCUCACCACACUCAUGGGCGACGAGUACAAGAAGUUCAAAGGGGUCAGGAAGCAGGCCUCCUUCCUCGAGAAGGAACUCAGCGCCAUGAACGCUGCCCUUCAGAAGCUCGAGCUAAUUGAUGAGAUUGAUCCAACCAUCAAGGAUUGGAGGGAUCAUGUUAGGGAGAUGUCGUAUGAUAUGGAGAAUUGUAUCGAUGACUUCAUGCGCCAGUCUCGAGCUGACGAUGCCAAGGCGGGCUUCAUCAAGAAGACUGCUCGCCGCAUCAAGAAGUUGCGAGAGCGUCUUCGGAUAGCCGAGCGGAUGGAAGAGCUCAAGACUCUUGCCAUAGAGGCAAAUGCUCGGCGCCAAAGGUAUAAUCUUGAUGAUUGGAAGCCUACCCCGAGCACCGUGGCUUUUGACCCUCGAGUGCGAGCGGUGUACCAGGAGGCGGAUACUCUCGUGGGCAUCGAUGGCCCAAGGGAGGAGGUUGCCACUAUUUUGAUGGAUGCUCGAAAGAAACUCAAAGUGGUGUCGAUUGUGGGCUUCGGUGGUCUUGGUAAAACUACACUUGCCAAGCAGGUGUAUGACAAGAUUGGCUCGCUGUUCAACUGCAAAGCAUUCUUUUCAGUUUCGCAGAGGCCUGAUAUGACUGAGCUGCUCAACAAUUUCCAGCUGAAACUAGGGAUGAGGGAUCCCGAUUCAUCUCGCCCUCGCAAGGUUGAAGACAUCAUUGAAGAGCUAAGGCAACAUUUGAAAAAGAAGAGGUACCUGAUAGUUGUCGAUGAUGUGUGGGAUCAACCAACAUGGGAUACCAUCAAGUGUGCUUUUCCAGAAGAUAUUAAUGGAAGUAGAGUAGUAGUUACAACACGAGUGGAAGAUGUGGCUGCAGCAGCCUGUCAGAAUGACGGCGAGGGCAUCUACAAAAUGCAACCCCUGAGUGAGCAAAACUCAAGAAUGUUAUUGUUGAAUAGAGUAUUCGGGUCCAAAAAUGAUUGUCCACCCCAAUUGAAAGAAGUUAUGGCUGAGAUUUUGAAGAAGUGCCAUGGAUUGCCACUUGCAGUUAUCACAAUAGCUAGCCUAUUAGCCAAUAAAGAACCGUCAAGGAAGGGUUGGGACAGCAUAAGGGAUUCUUUCGGUACCCAGCUUGCCACAAAUCCCACCUUGGAAGAGAUGAAGAGUAUAUUAAACUUGAGCUACAUGCAUCUUCCUGCUCAUCUGCGGGCAUGCUUUUUGUACUUUGGUAUGUAUCCCGAGGACAGUGACAUCGGGAGGACGAUCUGGUUCGGCAAUGGAUAG